rnacentral:rRNA from 1 species
GACGAACGCUGGCGGCGUGCUUAACACAUGCAAGUCGAACGGUGACGGAGGAGCUUGCUCUUCCUGAUCAGUGGCGAACGGGUGAGUAACACGUGGGCAACCUGCCCCUGACUUUGGGAUAACGCCUCGAAAGAGGUGCUAAUACCGGAUAUGAGCCUCCUUUGCAUCUGGGGGGCUGGAAAGUUUUUCGGUCAGGGAUGGGCCCGGGGCCUAUCAGCUUGUGGGUGAGGUAACGGCUCACCAAGGCGACGACGGGUAGCCGGCCUGAGAGGGCGACCGGCCACACUGGGACUGAGACACGGCCCAGACUCCUACGGGAGGCGGCAGUGGGGAAUAUUGCGCAAUGGGCGGAAGCCUGACGCAGCAACGCCGCGUGAGGGAUGACGGCCUUCGGGUUGUAAACCUCUUUCAGCAGGGAAGAAGCGAAAGUGACGGUACCUGCAGAAGAAGCACCGGCUAACUACGUGCCAGCAGCCGCAGUAA